UCUAAUGAAACUGUUUUGCCAAGAUGACUAACAACUACAUUUUCUCAAUUACAGUGAUCACUUCUCUGUCCUCAUCUUACUCGACUUCUCAGCAUCAGUUGAUGCAGUUGACAGUCUCCUCCUUCAUGGUCCCCUUGACAAAUCUAUGUCUCCCACACAUUUUGCCUGGUACCUUGCCUUUGACGUCUCCAGUGUGGAGAAAACUCUUCCCUCACCUCUCAACUCUGGGACUCAGACCCCCAGAUUGGCACAGCCUUAUUAUCUGUUUUGAAAAUUAAUUAAAGAGAAGCGACCUUCCCCCAAAGAUAGGAAAUUGUGUGAAGCUCUGUCAGUAGGUGGCACAGGAGAGACGUCUCAGGCUGGAAGGAUCUAGCCUGCAGUUGGCGUGUGCUCGCUCCAGCGCUUGGCCUUGCGUAGGCCUCUACAGUUCCCGGUUCCUGCAGUGC